rnacentral:rRNA from 1 species
AUUAACGCUAGCGGCAGGCAUAAUACAUGCAAGUUGAACGGCAGCACAGGUAGCAAUACUGGGUGGCGAGUGGCGCACGGGUGCGUAACACGUAUGCAACCUACCCUAUACAGGCGAAUAACCUUUAGAAAUGAGGGCUAAUACGCCGUAGUAUUACAGAUGGGCAUCUAUUUGUAAUUAAAGAUUUAUCGGUAUAGGAUGGGCAUGCGUCCCAUUAGUUAGUUGGUAAGGUAACGGCUUACCAAGGCGA